AUGAAAAGUGAUGCCUGCAGCGUAGACAGUUUGUGCUGUACGACCACAUCCUUCAUUGAUAUGCGCUCUGGGCGAGCAGCCUUUCUCUGCUCCUCUGGUUGUCCUCAUUUGUUUCUUCUUGUUCUGGCAGGUAGUUAUCAGAAGUCUUGUACAGAGUGUCAGUCCUGUCCUGCUGGAUACUACACAUCUGGUCCGAACCAUGAAUACAACUGCCAUCCUUGCUACUUGGACUGUAAACCAGAUGGUCAUAUGAAGGUGGUUCAGAACUGCACCAGGAAGACGGAUGUGAAGUGCGUCUGUGAAGAUGGUUUCCGCUGCACAGAUACGGUCCCAUACUCGGAAAACUGCAGAUACUGUGAGAUUCAGGACACUACCACAACUGAAGUAGCUGCUGUUGUUCCAGGCAAAGAUAAACACACACCUCCCUCAGCUUCCUCAGGAAACAACAGCACUUCCCACAAACCCAGCCAAUCUCCCAAGCGCGGCCCUCCGUUAGUCACACCGGCAGGAAAUGAUACACAUCACAGAGGCGGUGAAGACAAGACAAACGAUGACCUGGUGGCCAUCUUGUGUCCAUUGGUUGCCGUGGGAUGCGCGUCGCUUGGGAUGCUUUUGUUCGUUUGUAGCACCAGAGGUGAAACAUGUUUCAAGCGAGCUAUUAUAAAAUUAUGCAAUCUGGGAGGAGCAGAUGCUUCUCACAAGUCAAACGACUCGACUCAUCACAUCCCCAGAGACUCAUUCAGUGCAAAGCAGCAGCCAUCCUUCCUUUCCACAGCCAAUCUGGGUCCGGUCCAUGUCCACAAUCCAGGGACAGUCAUCUUUAGCUUGCUGAGUCAGUUUACAGGCCAAGCUGGACCGACCACUGAAUGCGUGAAGAAAUCCGAAAGAGUGAAUAGUGAGGAAGAAGAAGAAGAAGAAGAAGAAGAGAGAUACUGUCCUGUGUUCCAUCCCACUUCUUCUCCGAGUCCCCAUCUCUCUAAAGAGGAGUGGAGGGGAGAGACUGAGAGCGUGUUCUUUCCCUCCCAGGAGCAGGGGAAGGACUGCCACAUGUCCAAAGAGGAAGAGCUAUGA
ensembl:lncRNA